rnacentral:lncRNA from 1 species
AAUGUUUUACAGCCCAGUAUAAAAUUGGUGACUGUAGUAUAUUAGCCAUAUCUUUACAGCCCAAUAUGAAAUUGGUGACUGUAGUAUAAUAAAGAUGUCUUUACAGCCCAAUAUGAAAUUGGUGACUGUAGAAUAUUAGCAAAUAUUAUUACAGCCCAAUAUGAAAUUGGUGACUGUAGUAUAAUAAAAAUAUUUUUACAACCCAAUAUGAGUUUGGUGAUUGUAUCUUAUUAGUUGAUGAUUUUACGUCCCAAGAUACAUAUUGGUGAUUGUAGUAACUACUCUUACAACAUAUCAAAAUUUCCAUGACUUAAAAAAAAAUAAAAAAAAAAUACAGGAUAUCAGUGCAGAAGCAGAAGAUAUGGCAAAGGAACAAGAAAAUCAGUAGCAGAUAAGAAAAUCAGUAACGGAUAAGAGAACGUGGCAGGAAAAGCUUAAGCAGAUAUGAGAAGAUAUGAGUUGACAGGAAAUCUGUAAGCUUUUGAAGAAAGUGAGACAGCAGGAAUCUAAAAAAGAUAGAAAAGACUGCACUCAGAAAAUAAUUCAUGUAUCAUUAUUGUAAUACAUUAUUGAAAGGCUAUUGUAUGGCUGUAAUCAAAACCGGGAUCUCUAUAUAAGAGACCUUAUUGUAACAUUGAAAAUCAUCAGUUCUUGAAAUAUAUCUUAAAUUUCUCUACACUUACUCUUCUGAUGGCAAACUAAACCUCUUCUCCUACAAUCUACAACAGAAAAACAUGUUCAUCAAUAAGAUAUCAUAUACAAAUAUUAUCUAUUUGUCAUCAUAAGUUAUAUCAUUUAAAGCAGAGAUGGUGGAUAUCUGUCGAGCAACCUGGUUGCAGAGCCUGUUAGACGGGAGGUCAUAAAAGGGCAUAGCAGAGAUCAGGGACUCCGGUGAGCCAAUCUGUUUAAAUAGUAUGAUUUAUUUUGAUAAAUAAGAUAGGAUUUUUAUAUGAUAUCUAUAAUUCAUGUUAUGCAUGAUAUUGAUGAAAAAUGUUUAGAAGUUAUAGAUUGUAGAUUUUAUUUAAAACAUGAUUGUUUUUGU